rnacentral:rRNA from 1 species
UUUUUGACAAUUGGCGAAAGCCUUAUCCAGCCAUUCCGCGUUUUUUAAGAACGUCCUCGGGUUGUUAAGCCCUUUUAGGUGGGAGGGAGGGCAGGUAGGUAAUUCCUUUCCGUUUUUACGUUUCCGACCGGAUAAGCACCGGCUUACUUCGGUCCUGCAGCCGCGGUAAUACGAAGGGUGGAAGCGGUAAUCGGAAUUACUGGGCGUAAAGCGCGCGUAGGUGGUUUGUUAAGUUGGAAGUGAAAGCCCCGGGCUCAACCUGGGAACUGCUUUCAAAACUGGCAAGCUAGAGUAUGGCAGAGGGUGGUGGAAUUUCCUGUGUAGCGGUGAAAUGCGUAGAUAUAGGAAGGAACACCAGUGGCGAAGGCGACCACCUGGGCUAAUACUGACACUGAGGUGCGAAAGCGUGGGGAGCAAAC